AUGCAAGUCGAACGCUUUUUCUUUCACCGGAGCUUGCUCCACCGAAAGAAAAAGAGUGGCGAACGGGUGAGUAACACGUGGGUAACCUGCCCAUCAGAAGGGGAUAACACUUGGAAACAGGUGCUAAUACCGUAUAACACUAUUUUCCGCAUGGAAGAAAGUUGAAAGGCGCUUUUGCGUCACUGAUGGAUGGACCCGCGGUGCAUUAGCUAGUUGGUGAGGUAACGGCUCACCAAGGCAACGAUGCAUAGCCGACCUGAGAGGGUGAUCGGCCACACUGGGACUGAGACACGGCCCAGACUCCUACGGGAGGCAGCAGUAGGGAAUCUUCGGCAAUGGACGAAAGUCUGACCGAGCAACGCCGCGUGAGUGAAGAAGGUUUUCGGAUCGUAAAACUCUGUUGUUAGAGAAGAACAAGGAUGAGAGUAAAAUGUUCAUCCCUUGACGGUAUCUAACCAGAAAGCCACGGCUAACUACGUGCCAGCAGCCGCGGUAAUACGUAGGUGGCAAGCGUUGUCCGGAUUUAUUGGGCGUAAAGCGAGCGCAGGCGGUUUCUUAAGUCUGAUGUGAAAGCCCCCGGCUCAACCGGGGAGGGUCAUUGGAAACUGGGAGACUUGAGUGCAGAAGAGGAGAGUGGAUUCCAUUUGUAGCGGUGAAAUGCGUAGAUAUAUGGAGGAACACCAGUGGCGA
rnacentral:rRNA from 1 species